UAGGAAACACAGCCUAAGAGGCUCCUCAGAGGGGGCGACAUCUUCCAGCGAACCCGAACUUUCUAAGCAUCCCGCCUCCAGUCUUUGUGUGUAUGACUUUCUCUUUCUGGAAGGUAGGAUUACCCACCAGCCCUUUCGAGUGGCUACCUCUUACCCAUCUUUUCUCUGAGCCCAUCUCCAGUGCCCUCACCUCUAGGAAGCCCUUCCCUAACUUCAUUCUCCAAGUGAGGGUCUGAUGUCCCUUCUGGUUUCCAUGAGCCCCUGUGCGGUAUCAACCCUGGGCCAGGCCCAUUGCCAUCCCCCUGGGCCACCUGAGGAACAUGGUCAGCUCUGAAUAUCUGUCUGUCUUUGUGAACUGUACACAAAGAGGUCUUGCCUAGGUCCCCAGAGGGCUUGCCCCCUUUCAUCCCUUCACAUGGUCGGGUUACUCAACCCUGCCUGUCCAGGCUUACAGUGAUGCUGAGGAGGUGGCACUGGGCACCCCCCACGGUGCUGCCCCACUGCCUCUGCCCACCCUCAUUGCUACCCUGCCCUUGGCUAGGUUCCAGCCAGAGAAGGUUCUGGCCACUCCUGUUCAAAGAGAUCUGCCAUUGCCCCAGUUAAGUGGAGGGGUCUGGAGGCCACACUAAUUGAUUAAUUAAACCCUCUCGGUUAAUUAGCUGCAUCCCUCCAGGGAAAGAAGUCUAGAGCAGAGCCAAAGCCUAGCUAGGACUGGGGGAGGGGGUUCAUUAGCUGGGGUCAGGCCCAGCCUGAAGCUUGAUGCUCAAUGACUGAGAAGGCAGUGGAGAGGGGGGCUGAAGCAGUGCACAGAGGAGUUCUGGGCUCUGGAGCCAGACAGUUCACCUGGGGCAGGGAGAAGGGGCCUUUGUUUGUCCUGGACCCCCAUGACAUUCCUGAGCACACCCACCAUGAGCUGUAGAGACUGGGGGGAGAGAAAGAAGCGCAGGAGAGCUGGAGCAGUCCUGCAGGAGCAGAGGGUUGAAGCUGCAUCUGGCAUGGGAAGUCUGGGUCAGUGUUCGUGCACAGGACUGGGAGGAUCCAGGUAACCUUGUCCCCAAAGACUGCUGCUUCUGUGCCUUGAGGGAGGCUUUGAAUGCCAGCACCAGAACAUGAGAUCUGGGGUGUGUGGGGCAGGCUGUGGCUUGUUUGCAGCAGGGGAAGCACCUGAUCAGGAUUGGACUUAAGAAAGAGUUCAGGAGAGGGGCUUGGAGGAACAAGAGAAGGACAGGAACUGGAGCAAAGGGUAGGAACUGGGUGUCCAUGGGGCAAGGUCACCCAUUAGGUCUGGGGAUAAAAAGAUAAACUCCCACUACACUGGCUAGGAGCACCCAAGUUCUUCCUCUGCUUCUCUUUCCUCAUUGGCAAGGUGCCCCAGGGUGGUGGGUGGGAGGAGAUGCCCCUGAGGCUACAGCCUUGGGAUAUGAAUGUCACUGACAUGUUUCCUUGCCCCAGGACAAAGCACCUUCUUCACCUUCAGCUCUGGGUGGCACUUACAGUCCCUGAGGCUCACCAGUGUGUGAAGUGCCCAGCACCCCAUUCAGGAUCUACACAAUUUUGAUUCCAGGGUCUCAGAAGGAUACCUGUGUCUAGCCUGGCUCAAGAGGAAGAGGGAUUGGCCACGGGUCAGAGGCAGAGAGCCCAGGACAUCCCGAGCAGCCACAGGCAGCAGGCAAGGGCUACAGCCUUGGCACAAAGCCUGCCAUGGGCUGGUCCUCCAGCUCCCUGAGUGGCUGCCCAAGUGGGAACAAUGACCCUUUCACGUCACGCCUCCUCCAGUCACAGCAACUUUGGCGCCGCAGGACAAAGGGGCCGUUUCAUCAUUGUUGGAUUGAAUCAACAGCUUGCCGGACAGAGCUCUACUGCCCCCCCACCCCCAGCCAGGCCCAGGACUCUGUCUGGUCCAACCACAUGGGUCCCAGGGACCCUCCUGAUCCCUAUCUUCCUCUUUACGGCUCGCUAUGAGGAUACUAGCCCUGCUUCUAAGCCUCCGUCUCCCCGAGUGGGGAGCGGGCAGGGCAAUGGGCUAUCAGGGCUCCAUCCAGGUCGGCUAUACUGAGAUGUGCAUCUUCCACCUGUGCCUUCUGUCCCCAGUCUGCCUGACCCCAAGGAGGGAGCGUUGAGAUGGAACAGGGCAGCACAGCCUUUGGAAGGGGUCCUGUGCUGAGGGUAGAGAAAGCAGACUCUUGUCUGAGUCCUUGUCCCCUGCGUAGCCUUCUGAUGCUAGUGGCUUUCCAUAAUGUGAGCUAGUCCAAAGCCAGAUUUUCUCAUUUUGGGGUUAGCCUCAGCCCACUGUGGACGCCUGACUACACAGAGGCUCAAGAGGUUGGCUUGAGCCGGGAUUGGCUAAGGGGGAGAUGGAGACGAGCCUUUACCUUGCUUUUUGUGAAGAGACCCUUAUCUAGAAACCAAGACACAAAAUGCACACCGCCACCAUUACCACCACCACCACCACCACCACCAUACUACCUCCUGUGAUCAGGACUAGAAUCCAGCCAUAUGGGGCCCAACUUCCUCCCAAAGAAGCAAGGACUAUGGGACACAGGACAAGCUGUAGUUCCAUGUACCUCUGGCCUGAAGGCCAUAAUGGCAUUGAUGGUUUACAUGGGUCCAAAGACCCAGAGGUCUUGGCAAUGGGUCAAGGCAAUGGGUCUGGGGAUCACAGCUGUCUAGAACCACACAGUCUAAGCCAUUCAAGAAGCCUGCUCCAACAGGAGCACUUUUUGGCCCUUCUGCACAGCAUGGGUAUAGAUUCUACCAUGACAGGCUUUUUCAAACUCAGAACCCUGAGAGUGGAACACACUUGGAGAGUAGCCUCCAUGUGUUGGGGAUGGAUGGAUUCACCAUCAUCCCCAUUUCACAGAUAAGAACCUGAGGCCCUGAGGUAGUGGCCACCUGAACCAUACUGAUAGAGCUGGAAUACCUCAGUCGUUAAGAGCACACACUGCUUAAGUUUGGUUCCCAGCACCCAUAUCAGCAGCUCAUAAGCACCCGUAACUCCAGCUUCGGGGGGUUCAAAUGCUGGCAUCCCCAGGCACCCCCAUACAUGUGUGCAUACUCCCCCCCCACAUACACAUCAUUUUUAAAAAAUAAAAUCUUAAAAAAUAAAACCCAUAUGCACUGUGACUCUAACGUCUCUGGCAGGUGAGAGGCAGAGAUGAGGAGAGAGCUGGAAUAUGGGACUGGGCUCAGGGUGGCCCCUGAACACUGGGCAGUAUGGUGGAUGUGGAGGGUAAACACAGCAUGUGUGGGUGUGGGAGACCUGCUGGGCUGGGCUGCCAUAGUCCCUGCAGGCCUGGCGGCCCUGCAUACACAUUACCCAUUUACCCUGCCUCACUUCCUCUGACUAACCCUAAAGAAUUACCCCUCCAGGGGAGUGGAGCCCUGGCAUCCAUCAGCAGGAAAUGCCCAGCUCAGCCCUCCCCAGAGCCACGUGCCCUGGCAUCCUUAUCUGGGUGCUUGCCCAGGCCUCCUAGGAACAUAGGGUUAGAGGUACUGCCUUUGCUGAAGGCUGCUGAGCUCAGCCUGGGCCGUCAUUAGGUAAUCUGGGGUAGAAGUGGGUGCCCUCUCACACCAGGCUGGCCAAGGAUACCCUGCCCCAGUCACCAGUUUUGCUGACACCCUAGCUUUUAGAGUUCUUGGUGUCGAAGAAUGCAGGGCCUUGGGAGGAAGUUAGGGGCCCAGCCCCCAGCAGACAGGCAAGGCUUGCACUUUCGAACAUGUUCAACUUCCUUCAAUUCCUAGGCAGUGCCACUCAGGAACAGUCUCUAUCCAAGAGGCUGAGAGGGCGAAACUGCCUUGAUGCCUGGAGGAAUGGGAGCCUGGCCUACAGACAAUGGAGACCAGGCCCCUCUAGGAAGCUCAGAUGAUCCUCUGUAGCUGCCAUCCGGCUGAGGUAAUGAGACUCAGGCUUUGGACAGCUUCUAGGUCAAGGGCACCUGCCUAGGUAGGGCCUGUCCUAAGCAGAGGCCACUGAAACCCCAAGAAGAGGUGCAACAAGCCACAGAGGUCCUCAGAAGGGCCAGGAGGCUACAUUUCUGGAUUCUUACUGUUGCUCCACCCCCGAAGGGACACAGGCUUGCAGCCAGGUCAUUCCUGGUCUGGAUCCCAGUAUCCCUUAAGGCUUCACAUUGGCCAGACUGCUGUUGAUGAUGACCCUGGUUCAGAUUCUGAGUGCUUGUAAAAUACCUGCUAGGCCAAACACUCUAGUGUCGUGUAGCCAGAAGGCCCAAUCAGCAUGUUUCUGGAGAGUUCCUACGAGGGGAUUCCACUCUGUCCCCCGCCCCCAAUGGAGUGGACGGGCACAAAGAUUCAGUAACGGCAAGGCCAGCCAGCAUUGUCGCUGGGUCGAGUGGCAACAUCUAAGAUAUUCUUAGAUGGAGACUAGGCAUAGAGCAGCUUGCCUAAGCCCAGAGACGACACUCACACUGAGAUUUAUGCAGAGUAACCUGAAAGCAUUUUUACCACUCAAACCAUAAAACAGUGCAGCCAGGGUCGGCAUGGGACAAACAGAAAGCCCCAUAGCCGCUGGUCCAGCAACCUGUACCCGUGAAACUCCUUAGUGCCUCCUUGUAUAUUCACUCAUGGCUUCCUGGGCCAGUCAGUGACUCCAGGCUAUGUGAUCCAGGGCCAGCCCUGCAGGCCCUCUCUAGCCUGUAACUGCAAGUCCUACACCGUGAGUUCCUGCCCUCCUUAAAGGAUGUGGGGAGAAUCGGAGAUCUCAGAUGAGCAAUGUCUGUGGAGAAAGCUCAGUCUGGCUUUGCACUCAGACUGGUCUGUAGCCCACCCUCAGGAGGGACCCUCUGUGUGACUCUCGGGCAGGUCAUUUCACUUCUUUGAGUCUCACUUGAAUGAGGACACUGACGAUACCGCAUCACACAUGGGGUACCCUGGGGCCCCAGGGAAGAGGAGACAGCCCCUCCCAGGACAGUAGUAGUGCAUGCACAGAGGGUACUCAAAAGUUUUAGGGGUGCAGGCUGCUGGGGCCAACUGUGAUGGGCUUUCUACCCGUCCCAGGCCAUCACCCUAAGGGCAGGUGGCAUGGACUAUGGCACAGGGGAUGGCUGCAGUGGCUCCUGGGUACCCUGUGCCUGGUGCUGUUGACCCAAACUGCAAAGGCUUCUCCUCCCAGGGUUUGGAGUUGCGCUGUUGGGACCAUGCAAAGUGCAAAUAGCCCCGCCAUGGCAUCUGCCGUGACUGGAGGACACAGGGAUAGACAGCCUGCCUCUAAACAAGGCAUGCACUCUGGUGACCCUGUAGAAUGGUGGAAGAAAGAGUGCCAGGCCAUUGUGCCUAGGGGCACCCCUGUGAAGGAAGGUGGUAUCUCUCCCCUGACCAUGAAAACCUGAGCCUGUGCCUGAACUGGUGGCAACGGACUCUGCCAAACUCUCCCCCCAGAAGGAAUCUCCUUCCUGACAUCUGGGGCCAGCAGCGACCGCUGCUCCAAGCCAAAGACUUGGCUCAAGCUCUCCAGCUUACUCCAUUAGGUUCGUACUUAGCAUGAGUGUGGACACUGAAGCCAGUGUUCAAUAAAAUGGGGUGUGAUGGGGGACCCCAAAGACCCAGUCCUUGCCCGGACAGGAGGGAUAGACUGGAGCUGUGUUGUCUUGGGCCCUGGCUUUACAGAGAGGCUUAGGAACCAGGCUGUCCCAUGGACUCCGAUUCAGGCUAUCCCUCUGUGCCAGCGACUGUCUCCUGCUUGAGCUGGUAUCACCUCUUCCAGGGAUAGAUGAAGGCUGCGGCUUGACUGUACCCUCCUCCCUGUCUCCUGCCUCAAGGCAGGGCUAACUCAUUCACUCUCAAGUCUCUAAAGAACGAAGUAAAGUGGGAGGAGCCAAGAGAAGAGACCCAUGAGGCCAUGGAGCCUGGAGAUCAUGGUGGUAGGGCCCUAGGUGGACUCACCCCUGGCCCUAGGUAUGACUGAGUUACCAGCAUGGGGGUGGGUAGCUCAGUCAGACAACUGAGCUACACAGUAUAUUGAGCUGCUUUCUGGAAGCCAUUGAGUCAAAAGAUCUGAAAAUAUGCACAGCCUUUAGCCCAGAAAUCCAUCUACCCCAGUGUGCCUGCCCCGAGGAAACUGCCACCUGAGCGCACAGAAGGGGCAGCCUCUAACUUGCUCUGUGAUCCCUGACUCACGUCAGCCUGUCAGCUAUGUCCAGAGUCCUUCACGGGGAUUGUCCCCUCCCACCAGCCUGUGGUCCCACAUCUAUGCCCUUCCCUGUCCACCCAGGCAGGAUCUCUGUUUCCCAGGAAUACAGGUGUCCACAGAGGCAGGGAAAAGCAGACUGUGGGCUUUAGCCCUCCUGUGAGCCAAGCUCCAUUCUAGACACACAACGCUCCAUCCUGUCCUCACAGCAAGGUUUUAUUCGCCCUGUUUUUCAGGCAACAAAGCCAAGGCAUCCAGGGCUGCUGAGGCACAGAGCCAGAGAACUCAGCUGUAAUCCUGCAGGCAGCCGAGGGAAUCCUAAGAGACAUGUGGGCAGGGAGGGUAUGGAAGCUCCUCCAGGGCCCUCACAGCCUCCCCGGAGUGUUUCAGCACUCCCCUUCACAAGGCCAUAGCAGGUGCUAGAGGCAGAGGCUGAUGUUUCUCUCUCUCUCUCUCUCUCUCUCUCUCUCUCUCUCUCUCUCUCUCUCUCUCUCUCGUCCCUCUCUUGGCCAUGCACACCCGAGCGCUGGUGUCACCCCACAGCCUCUGCUGCAGCCUCUGGAUGUGCCUGGAAUCCCAACACCGAGCUGCAGAGAUGUCUGGCCAGAGCCGCAAGGUCAAUCCCUCUCUUAACACGGCACACACUACUGCAGCAUUGGCCCGGCCUCAGGGGACCCUCCCCUCAUCUUGGAGAAAUGGAGCAUGAGUCAACUCCCAUUCCACCUCCAGACCUGGGAAAGUAGCAUGGGAGCGAGAGGCAGGAUUCCUGCAGAGCUCUGGACCCAUCUCUUCAAGAGUCUCUCUUAUACAGUCCAGGCUGGUCUCCAACUCUCGAUUCUCCUGCCUCAGCUUCCUGAGUGCUAGGAUUGCAAGCACGUGCCACCGCCUUUGGCUGUCCAAAAGCAUUUACUGAACCCUACCGAAUGCCGAAGGAGGGAGGCGAGGCGGAACAACGCGGGUCAUUCAGACAGCUUGGGGUUGAUGGCCUCUAGCCGGGCAGAAGGACCCCAGAACUUCCUCCACCUGGUGGGUUUGUCCUAGCCUCUGCCCGUCAGUACCCAGGACCACGAUGGACUGACAGGGGUCCACUCUGGCUUGGAACGCUUCUCCAAGCGCCCAGCCUUCAAAUUCAAAUUGGUCACUUGUAAGAGAUGUGGCCUGGGCCUGGUGGAUUCGAUCUGGGCACUGUCUCCGUCUGCUCCAGACCACGGUGGGAACUGCACAGAGGUCACAUGAGUGUAUUUAGUAAGUGCCCAGUGUUAGGAUUCUGUACAUGCGCAGCUCGGGGUCUUGUCUGGCACCUUAUUACGUCAUCAAUGGGCGACUGUGUCCCGGCCUUAAAGCCGGACGUGCGCCCCCACGUGCUCUCUCUCUCUCUGGCCUCUCUUCCUGUUUCCUCUCCGCCAGGCCUGGCUUCUCCGGCCUAUCCCCUCUUCUUUCUAAUAAAGUGCAUUCUAACUCUGGUA